rnacentral:lncRNA from 1 species
AUUCCAGAGCUACAAUUGUUUCUUGCCUUAAUAGCAAUAGAUCCCUUUUAUCUAAACAACCUGUAUAAUACUCGUUAUACAUGACCACUCUAACAGUCUUCAUCCGUUUUCUAAAUGUGUGUUGUGUGCUGAUGUUUGUCGUGUUGAUUUGAACAUGCAGCUGGCACUUGUUCUGGAAACAGUCUGAACAAAGUUUGACAGUGCACAGACCCUUGGGGAAAUAGGGUUUUAUGUUCAGUUCAGUCUGGCCUUCAGCUCUGGCCCUUCUACCUCUACCUCCCUGGUUCAGGGACUAAAGUAGUGUGCGACCAUGCCCUCAGCUUUGGGGUUGGUUGGUUUGCUUGCUUGCUUGCUCUCUUGCUAGCUUUAUUAUUUGUGGGAAGUGGUUACACUUGUGAUUUAGUCCAGCAUUUUAAGUGUAGCAGCUGUGAACCAUUUUUAUUUUAAUAUUUUAAAGAUUUAUUUUUUUAUUUCAUAUGUAUGCAUGUUUGUCUGCAUAUACGUAUGUGCAUCAUGUGUGUGCCUGGUGCCCACCCACCUAGGCUAGAAGAGGGCAUUGGAUACCCUGGAAGUGACGUUAGAGAGGAUGGUCAGACACCGACCGUAUGGGUGCUGGGAACCAAACCUGAGUCCUCUGCAAGAGCAAUAAAUGCUCUUAACCACUGAGCCAUCUCAAGCUCCGGCUGUGGAACUCUGAGCAAUACCUUUCUUUUUGCUAUCUUAGAAUACUGUUCUCUGGUAGAUUGUCUUCCAUAACUGUCACCUGAGUUAAAACAGUACUUAUGUAAAUUAUUUUGAGAAUUAUCACUAAGGGGGAGGUAGGGCUUAAAUAAGGUAAAUAUAAUUUUUAUGUAUUUUAGCCAGAAUGUCUACUGAUCUAUCCCAGUCACUAUUAUAUUCUAUGGCGCAGUAACCUUUCAAAAGAAUGUUACAUUUCACCAUUAACAGUUUUUGCUGAAUGAAAGACAGUUGAGUACCAUGUUUCCUGUAAUGAUAUUUAAUAAUAUAUUAAAAGUAAAUGUCUUGAGUUUUUUCUACAAGU